CAGUCGCCGCGGUAAUACGGAGGGGGCUAGCGUUGUUCGGAAUUACUGGGCGUAAAGCGCACGUAGGCGGCUUGGUAAGUUAGAGGUGAAAGCCCGGAGCUCAACUCCGGAAUUGCCUUUAAGACUGCCGAGCUAGCAGGUGAGAGAGGUAAGUGGAAUUCCGAGCGUAGAGGUGAAAUUCGUAGAUAUUCGGAAGAACACCAGUGGCGAAGGCGGCUUACUGGCUCAUACUGGACGCUGAGGUGCGAAAGCGUGGGGAGCAAACAGGAUUAGAUACCCCCGUAGUCCCUGUCUCUUAUAC
rnacentral:rRNA from 1 species